AUUGAACGCUGGCGGAAUGCUUUACACAUGCAAGUCGAACGGCAGCACGGGGGCAACCCUGGUGGCGAGUGGCGAACGGGUGAGUAAUACAUCGGAACGUGCCCAGUCGUGGGGGAUAACGUAGCGAAAGUUACGCUAAUACCGCAUACGAUCUACGGAUGAAAGCGGGGGACCGUAAGGCCUCGCGCGAUUGGAGCGGCCGAUGUCAGAUUAGGUAGUUGGUGAGGUAAAGGCUCACCAAGCCGACGAUCUGUAGCUGGUCUGAGAGGACGACCAGCGACACUGGGACUGAGACACGGCCCAGACUCCUACGGGAGGCAGCAGUGGGGAAUUUUGGACAAUGGGCGCAAGCCUGAUCCAGCCAUUCCGCGUACAGGACGAAGGCCUUCGGGUUGUAAACUGCUUUUGUACGGAACGAAAAGGCUCUGGUUAAUACCUGGGGCUCAUGACGGUACCGUAAGAAUAAGCACCGGCUAACUACGUGCCAGCCGCCGCAGUAA
rnacentral:rRNA from 1 species